rnacentral:rRNA from 1 species
GAUGAACGCUGGCGGCGUGCCUAACACAUGCAAGUCGAACGAAGAGACGAGGAGCUUGCUCGGGUGACGAUAGCGGAGGGCGGGAGAGUAACGCGUGGAUAACCUCCUUAUAAGUCGGGGAAGACUUCGGAAAGACGGCGAAAAUAGCAGAGGAUAUAUGGAACCGUAUGGUUGAGUGGAGAAAGACGGCUUUGCGGUCUGGUAUAGCUGGAUCUUAGCCGGAUUAGCUGGUUGGUAAGGUACCAGGUUACCAAGGCAACGAUGCGUGGCAGAGCUGAGGGGUUGAUCGCCCACACUGGAACUGAGCCACGGUCCAGCCGCCUCCGGGAGGCAGCAGUUGGGAAUCUUCGGCAAUGGGCGUAAGCCUGACUGAGCAACACCGCGUGGGUGAAGAAGGUCUUCGGGUCGUAAAGCUCUCUUAUUGGGAAAGAACAUAAGUAUGAGAAACUAUGCUCGUCUUGACGGUACCUAAAGAAAAAGCCCCGGCUAACUACGUG